GCCCGCCAGAGGCUCGGCUCGCGCGGCGCGGCCGCUGCGACUUCCUGGAGUUCUGCCUGCCGGGGGCGCGGGCGGGCUUUGUCAGGAUCGCGGUGCGGCGACCGACGUUGGGCUCUUGCAUUGCUUUGUGCUUGGCAAUGGAAUCAUGGUUUCGGGAUAGUCAUUUUGCCUCCUGGACAGUUGGCUGACGAAGUGUCUGAUAAACCAGCUUCAGAUACAUGCUACAAAAGGCUACUGAGCUGGCCUGAUGAUGAUCCUUCUGAGAUAUAUUUAUAGCAGAUGAUUUGUGGAUGAUAACUACGCCAAGCAAGACACUGUCUCCAGUAACCCCAGGCUCGUCUGACUUCCUCAGGGGAUUAUAAUAAAGAAUCACAAAAAGAACCCUAUAUGGACAGUCUGGUCUCUGGACACUAACAACAGCACAAUCCAAAGGCAAAGAAAGGAGGAACCACCUUGUUUCAUGUCUGCAAGCUGCUCCAUAUGAAAGCAUUGCUGACAUGUUGACCCAACAGCAAAAAGAGAGCAGCAGUUUACACACCCUCAGCUCUCUGUCCUUUCCUUUCUAUUGAUGUUGGUCCACUUUUAUGACUGAAUACAUAUUAAAAUCACCAUUUCAAAUUAUAAUUAUCUGCUUUCAUUGGUCUCUUUCA
ensembl:lncRNA ADGRB3-DT ADGRB3 divergent transcript